rnacentral:rRNA from 1 species
UAGGGAAUCUUCCGCAAUGGACGCAAGUCUGACGGAGCAACUCCGCGUGAGUGAAGAAGGAUUUCGGUUCGUAAAACUCUGUUGUUAGAGAAGAACAGCGCAUAGAGUAACUGUUAUGCGUGUGACGGUAUCUAACCAGAAAGCCACGGCUAACUACGUGCCAGCAGCCGCGGUAAUACGUAGGUGGCAAGCGUUGUCCGGAUUUAUUGGGCGUAAAGCGAGCGCAGGCGGUCAAUUAAGUCUGAUGUGAAAGCCCCCGGCUCAACCGGGGAGGGUCAUUGGAAACUGGUUGACUUGAGUGCAGAAGAGGAGAGUGGAAUUCCAUGUGUAGCGGUGAAAUGCGUAGAUAUAUGGAGGAACACCAGUGGCGAAGGCGACGCUCUGGUCUGUAACUGACGCUGAGGCUCGAAAGCGUGGGUAGCAAACAGG